rnacentral:rRNA from 1 species
UACGGAGGGUGCAAGCGUUAUCCGGAUUUACUGGGUUUAAAGGGUGCGUAGGUGGGUCUGUAAGUCAGUGGUGAAAUCUCCGGGCUUAACUCGGAAACUGCCAUUGAUACUAUAGAUCUUGAAUACUCUGGAGGUAAGCGGAAUAUGUCAUGUAGCGGUGAAAUGCUUAGAUAUGACAUAGAACACCAAUUGCGAAGGCA